GGAAAUGGGACUUCAUGUUUUCUUUGGUUGUUACAAUAAUCUUUUUCGAUUGAUGAAAAAGGUUGGUGCUGAUAAAAAUCUGCUUGUGAAGGAUCAUACUCAUACUUUUGUAAACAAAGGGGGCGAAAUUGGUGAACUGGAUUUUAGGUUUCCAAUUGGAGCUCCGUUACAUGGAAUUCGUGCUUUUUUGUCUACAAAUAAGCUCAAG